CCUUGUUCUUUCCUCAAACCCUCAAAGACUGCCUUUUCUUCUUCACUUCUUCAUUUAUUCCCUUCACUUCUCAACUUUCCUCCCAAAUCCUUCUCAAGCCUCAGCCAUCAAUUCUUCAUUUUCAAAAUUUCCCCUCCCAAAUCCAUUUUUCGUCGUCGGCUCACAGACAUGACGACGCCCGGAUGAACUCGCAAGCAACCACAACUCUUCGUUUUAGAGCUUUGAGACAUACUCAUGGGUAAGCGAGUCACUCUUCUUUCACGCCUCACAAAUCGCCAUCUGGGUUCUACGAUUCUGGGAUUGCCUAUGGGUUUUGAAAUUCUACUUUUAUGAUUCGGUUUGGGUUCAUGGGUAUGCGAUUCAGUCUUUGGAGAUUCUGAAUCUGCUUAUGGCUGAGAUUUGGUCUGGGUUCUUUGCCUACUGUUGUUGCUUUUUGCUUAAGAUAAAUUUGAAAUUUUGAUUAUUGGUUCAUCUGUUUUGGUUGGG
rnacentral:misc_RNA from 1 species